UUCUUCAUUAGAUCAGGUGCAGAUAAUUGGUUAUGGCAGUACCACCAAACGCAAUAAUACAGGUGCUGUAAGUUCGAUUACUGCCGAAGAAA
rnacentral:tRNA from 1 species